rnacentral:lncRNA from 1 species
UUCAUUUUAAUGAUUUACUUUGUUCGGGUUAAAGAAUGUUUGUCAGAUGUUCGGACUCCUUGGUUUUUUUUUACUACGAUACAGAAUAAAAUACUAUGUCACAUGCCACUUAUUUUCUUGUCAUAUAAGACUUCAAAAACUUAUAAAAAGUCAUUAACCAAAAGGACAAGGUCCACUACGACCUCUUUUUGGCCCCAAAAUAUAGCAG